CAAGUCCUGACACGUCUGCUGGAGAAUCAAGUAUGUCAAAGCCUGUCGCCUGUUUGGUAUCCCUGAAGACAUUGUAUCGGAUAGAGGCGCUCAGUUUACCUCAAUGCAAGAGAGCAAACCAGGAACUAACUACCUCCUAUGCCAUGGACAGGCACUCCUUCUGAGGUCCCUGCCAUAGUCCUGGAUGUCUCGUAACGAACAGGUUUGGGAGGAGACCCAUCAAUGGAUUGGAGACGAACGUCAAGCUGACCAGCGACAUGGUGACACCCCUUCUUAUGCCAUAGGGGAC